GUUGACAAGUUGUGGCAUCUCGAGCAUGUCUCAUAGGAGAGUGGAAUGAAGUCCAUUGUACUGUUGGUACAGUAGCAGAUGUGUCAUUGUUUUGUUGUGCAAUUCUUUCUGUUCUUGCUAUAUUCCUGUGUAAGGAAAUGUAUUCAAGAGAUGAGUUAUUGUGUUAUGUAAACCUGGGAGAUGUAUUAUGUGAUGUUAUA
rnacentral:lncRNA from 1 species